AUUUACCAACAAUUUCAAUUUUUUAUUUGGCUUUUAAGACAUCGAAGCUUCCUUGCUUGCAAAAUUUUAAGUUGCUAAUAAAUUGUUUGCCACCGUUUUCAUAUCAAAUAUUUUCUAUUUGAUAAACUACAUUCAUUGGAUAUAAUUAGAAUUUACAUUUCGUCCAGCGAUGGUUUGCGACAAGUGCGAAAAAAAAUUGGGAAAAGUUAUUACACCAGAUCCUUGGAAAGCUGGAGCAAGAAAUACUACUGAAGGUGGCGGCAGAAAGAUAAAUGAGAAUAAAGCACUUACAGCAAAUAAAGCGAGGUUUGCGCCUUAUGCAAAAUUUAUGGAGUGUAAAAUAUGCCGCCAAAAAGUUCAUCAAUCUGGUUCUCAUUAUUGUCAAGCCUGUGCUUAUAAAAAAGGAAUUUGUGCAAUGUGUGGUAAAAAAUUAUUGGAUACAAAGAACUAUAGACAAUCUGCUGCCUAAAUUAUUCUGCAAUAAUUUUACUCUCUCAAUUGUAAAUAAAAUGUAAAAUAUUUUUUGUCAUCCUUUUUGAAACUGUUAAUAUGGUAUUUAUGUAUUAGUAUAUUAAAACCUUGGGGGCAAAACGUGGUAAUAUACAUUUUUGUAAUGUAGAAGUAAACACAUUCUUUUGUCACUGAAAAAAUGAAAUUAAUCAAAGUGAUAUUCUUACAACUGAACUAAUAUUGUGCUGCUGUCUAUCAACAAAGGCUCAUACUACUUUAACAGAAUGAAAGCUCUUAUUGGAUAUAAUUUAUUUACAUUAAGGAACUGAUGUUUUUGUUGGAAGAGGGCUUUUAUGCCCUUCAGUUUCUCAUAUAUGUAUUAUUUUAUAAUAAAAUUGUGUAAAUAAAUUAUGUAAGAUGUUUAUAGGAACUAGACCAAUGAGUCAUAUAUGUUUUUGUAAAAUGUUAUGUGUCUCACUAAAAAAAUUGGAAACUAAA